AUUGAACGCUGGCGGCAGGCCUAACACAUGCAAGUCGAGCGGAUGAAGGGAGCUUGCUCCUGGAUUCAGCGGCGGACGGGUGAGUAAUGCCUAGGAAUCUGCCUGGUAGUGGGGGAUAACGUCCGGAAACGGGCGCUAAUACCGCAUACGUCCUGAGGGAGAAAGUGGGGGAUCUUCGGACCUCACGCUAUCAGAUGAGCCUAGGUCGGGUUAGCUAGUUGGUGGGGUAAACGCCUACCAAGGCGAGUAUUCGUAACUGGUCUGAGAGGCUGAUCAGUCACCCUGGAACUGAACCGCGCUCAAGGCGCCUACGGGAGGGAGCAGUCGGGAAUAUUGGGCAAUGGGCGAAAGCCUGGUCCAGCCAUGCCGAGUGUGUGAAGAAGGUCUUCGGAUUGUAAAGCAGUUUAAGUUGGGAGGAAGCGCAGUAAGUUAAUACCUUGCUGUUUUGACGUUACCAACAGAAGAAGCACCGGCUAACUUCGUG
rnacentral:rRNA from 1 species